AUCAACAGCACCUGCUUUUAACACACAUUGGACAUACCUGGGUGGUUUCCUUGAAGUCAGGUGACACGCUGAGCUGUUCCAGCACCAAGUUUCUGGGGAGAAAGACCAUAAGAGGUGAUCAAUACUUCCUACAAGCCAACUUUCAAGUAAUCCCAUUGCAAAAUGGCUCUGCGGUCACUCCAUCAUGCAGAGGCCUAAACUAGGCAAAUGGAAUGUUGCAGAAAGUCCCCCCAGAGCCCAGCUGGCCCCCAGAUGCUGUAGUCUUCUUUUGUUGGGUUGCGCUGUCAUGGCUGCCAGCUCUCUGGAGUGAUGCUCCUUGUAGAUGCUACCAAUCUAAUACUGCAAGUCAUGCUGCGCUGCAGGGCCUCAUCCAUCUCGUCUAAGGUACUUUUGCAAGUAUUCUUCUAGAUUAAAUUCCUGGCAGUAAAGUAACUGGAUUAGAAUUUCUGUAUAUUCAGAAUUUGGAUUGAUACUACCAAAGCGCCCUUAUAAACAGUCAGACCAAUACAUUCUCAUCUACAGUGGAUGAAUGCACCUCUUUGAUGUUAUCAAGUAUUUUCAUUUUUGCCAACACGAUAGGUAACAUCCAUUCUCCCAUAGUUGCUUGGGUUUGUCUUUAACUAUCAACAUCAUUGAGCACCAUUUCAUGCAUUUGUUCCCUGUUUGUAUUUUUUACUUCUGAGUGUGAAUUGCCUAUCCAUAUCCUUUGUCCACUUUUCCACUGGUAUAUCUUUCUCCACCUGAAUUAUAUAGACCCCUUUUCAAUCGAGGAAAUGAGCCCUGAAGGCAAAUAUUUCCUCCAGUUUACCCUUUGUCUUUUGUCUUUGUUUACAGUUUUUCAGUCCAUCCUAAGUGUUUACAUGUUUUUAAAUUUCUCAACACCCAGGAAAUUUGUUGAGAGCUGGACUACAUCUCAAGAUCCCUCCAAGUCUAAAGAAGAUGCCACAAAUACCAUCAACUACAAAAUGAAAGGAAUAUGCGUCCAGUGGUGGAUUUUUGCAGACUUUAGCAGGCUCUACCCUUCCACCAUGCUUAUCCUUCAGGAAUGUGCUGGACAACUCUAUCAAUGUUUGGGGUAAAGGAACAUGAUUCAUGAAAAGGAUGAAUCUCCCUUAGAAGGCUUGUGUAUUAUCACCCUGGAUGUGUUGAGUUCCCUGCUGUCUUUUCUGCUUGACUGGUAACAAGGUGGCCCACAUGAACACCAACAGCAAAUGGACUGACUCAAGUCUCCUGGUCUUAACAGCCUGAAGUUCUGCCAGAUUCACCCAUCAGAAAUAAUUUCCUCUUGAAAACGAAUGUCAGUAAUUCUCUAUGGAAGCUAAUAUCACCAACUUGCAAAUGGGUAUGAUUUUUGUUGUUGUUGUUCUCUAUUUUUACUAAAGUUAUAUAUACACAGAUUUUUGAAGGGUCAAGUAGUUCCAGGUUUUGUGAUUAAAAAAUAAAAAAAAUUAAGCCUUCUCCCCA
rnacentral:lncRNA from 1 species